rnacentral:snRNA from 1 species
AUGCCUACCUCUCAGGCAAGAUGCCAUGAUCAGACAGGUGGUUUUCCCAGGACUCAUAUCCUCCACUCUGAGUGUGCUGACCCCUGCAAUUUCCCCGAAUGUGGGAAGCUCAACUGCAUAAUUUGUCGUAACAGGAGACAUAUAUUUGAGCGAGGAAACACUGU